AUGAUGGAUUGAGGGUUUUGCUUGGUUUGUGUGUCGUGUUUUAUGUUUCAGAACGAAUUCGUGAAACUUUGGGUUUCUGUUUUGACUGCAGGUGCUAUGGUGGCGGUCAUUCCCAGCUGACGCGAGUACGCUUGAAUGGCUGAAGCGGAAUCCGAAGGUUGUUAAUAAGCUUGAGGUCCAUUCCAGAGAUGAUUUUCAUGUAGCAUCUGAAGAAUUAAACAAGUAUGGUGGCAAGGGUGAUCUCUCAAAACAAGUUGCUAAUAUACUUGAGGUCUAUCUCGGACGUGGGUUUCAGGUAGCAUAUGAAAAAGCAAUGGAUUAUGGCAUCAAGGUUAUGAUGCAUCAUUUCCCACUGCAAGUAUUGCCUCUUUUCCCUUUUCCCUUCCUUCUUUAAGGUGUUCUGUUGCUGUUCUAAGUGAUGGCCGUAGAGAGCGUCUACAAUUCUUUCUAGUUUAUCGGCUUUAACAGUCGAUAUUCAGAAAUCAACAUGAGAGUUGGUUAUUAUGUAAUAGUUACGGGUGUGAUUCAUUCUCCAUUCAUUUAUUUCCAAGAAAAUACAGCACAAUAUCCUUUUGAGCAGCAGAGAUCACUUCAUUGAGAAGGCCAAUCAUGUCGAUUUUCUACAUUAGGGGAUGGCUAAGAAUCCAAAAUUCUGUUGCAUUUUCAAUAGUUGAUCGACUUUCAUGGACAUUGUGAAUCUUCAUAGAUGAUUGCCAUAUUUGAGUUCUGUCUGGAUUACCCUUAGUCGCAAUCUUGAAUUGCAGUUUUAGAUGCUCCGGAUAUACAAAGCAUUAUUUAUCGGUUUACUUUAGUUCAUCCUCUUUAAAUUCCAUUACUUCUCUCUUCUCUAGCAUGACUUUGCUCUAUGACUACGACAGGUUGCUCUGUGUGAUAAAAGCCCACUCGCGGCAAAGAUGAAUUUAAUUAAAGCAUCACUUACGUUUGAACGGGUAUGAUUUAUUGCGUUAGAUCUCAUUAUGUUGCAAGUGCUUCUUGCAUG